UACGGAGGGUGCAAGCGUUGCUCGGAAUUAUUGGGCGUAAAGGGUAGGUAGGUGGUCUUAUUUGUCUGGGGUGAAAUCCUUGAGCUUAACUCAAGAAGUGCCUCAGAAACGGUGAGACUAGAGUUCUGGAGAGGGUCGUGGAAUUCCCGGUGUAGCGGUGAAAUGCGUAGAGAUCGGGAGGAACACCAGAGGCGAAGGCGGCGACCUGGACAGAUACUGACACUCAACUACGAAAGCGUGGGGAGCAAACAGG
rnacentral:rRNA from 1 species